rnacentral:rRNA from 1 species
CCUUAGUAGUGGCGAGCGAACGGGGAUUAGCCCUUAAGCUUCAUUGAUUUUAGCGGAACGCUCUGGAAAGUGCGGCCAUAGUGGGUGAUAGCCCCGUACGCGAAAGGAUCUUUGAAGUGAAAUCGAGUAGGACGGAGCACGAGAAACUUUGUCUGAACAUGGGGGGACCAUCCUCCAAGGCUAAAUACUACUGACUGACCGAUAGUGAACCAGUACCGUGAGGGAAAGGCGAAAAGAACCCCGGAGAGGGGAGUGAAAUAGAACCUGAAACCGUAUGCGUACAAGCAGUGGGAGCCUACUUGUUAGGUGACUGCGUACCUUUUGUAUAAUGGGUCAGCGACUUAUAUUCAGUGGCAAGCUUAACCGUAUAGGGUAGGCGUAGCGAAAGCGAGUCUUAAUAGGGCGUUUAGUCGCUGGGUAUAGACCCGAAACCGGGCGAUCUAUCCAUGAGCAGGUUGAAGGUUAGGUAACACUGACUGGAGGACCGAACCCACUCCCGUUGAAAAGGUAGGGGAUGACUUGUGGAUCGGAGUGAAAGGCUAAUCAAGCUCGGAGAUAGCUGGUUCUCCUCGAAAGCUAUUUAGGUAGCGCCUCAUGUAUCACUCUGGGGGGUAGAGCACUGUUUCGGCUAGGGGGUCAUCCCGACUUACCAAACCGAUGCAAACUCCGAAUACCCAGAAGUGCCGAGCAUGGGAGACACACGGCGGGUGCUAACGUCCGUCGUGAAAAGGGAAACAACCCAGACCGCCAGCUAAGGUCCCAAAGUUGUGGUUAAGUGGUAAACGAUGUGGGAAGGCUUAGACAGCUAGGAGGUUGGCUUAGAAGCAGCCACCCUUUAAAGAAAGCGUAAUAGCUCACUAGUCGAGUCGGCCUGCGCGGAAGAUGUAACGGGGCUCAAACCACACACCGAAGCUGCGGGUGUCACGUAAGUGACGCGGUAGAGGAGCGUUCUGUAAGCCUGUGAAGGUGAGUUGAGAAGCUUGCUGGAGGUAUCAGAAGUGCGAAUGCUGACAUGAGUAACGACAAUGGGUGUGAAAAACACCCACGCCGAAAGACCAAGGGUUCCUGCGCAACGUUAAUCGACGCAGGGUUAGUCGGUUCCUAAGGCGAGGCUGAAAAGCGUAGUCGAUGGGAAACAGGUUAAUAUUCCUGUACUUCUGGUUACUGCGAUGGAGGGACGGAGAAGGCUAGGCCAGCUUGGCGUUGGUUGUCCAAGUUUAAGGUGGUAGGCUGAAAUCUUAGGUAAAUCCGGGGUUUCAAGGCCGAGAGCUGAUGACGAGUCGUCUUUUAGAUGACGAAGUGGUUGAUGCCAUGCUUCCAAGAAAAGCUUCUAAGCUUCAGGUAACCAGGAACCGUACCCCAAACCGACACAGGUGGUCGGGUAGAGAAUACCAAGGCGCUUGAGAGAACUCGGGUGAAGGAACUAGGCAAAAUGGCACCGUAACUUCGGGAGAAGGUGCGCCGGCUAGGGUGAAGGAUUUACUCCGUAAGCUCUGGCUGGUCGAAGAUACCAGGCCGCUGCGACUGUUUAUUAAAAACACAGCACUCUGCAAACACGAAAGUGGACGUAUAGGGUGUGACGCCUGCCCGGUGCCGGAAGGUUAAUUGAUGGGGUUAGCGCAAGCGAAGCUCUUGAUCGAAGCCCCGGUAAACGGCGGCCGUAACUAUAACGGUCCUAAGGUAGCGAAAUUCCUUGUCGGGUAAGUUCCGACCUGCACGAAUGGCGUAACGAUGGCGGCGCUGUCUCCACCCGAGACUCAGUGAAAUUGAAAUCGCUGUGAAGAUGCAGUGUAUCCGCGGCUAGACGGAAAGACCCCGUGAACCUUUACUGUAGCUUUGCACUGGACUUUGAGCCUGCUUGUGUAGGAUAGGUGGGAGGCUUUGAAGCGUGGACGCCAGUUCGCGUGGAGCCAUCCUUGAAAUACCACCCUGGCAUGCUUGAGGUUCUAACUCUGGUCCGUAAUCCGGAUCGAGGACAGUGUAUGGUGGGCAGUUUGACUGGGGCGGUCUCCUCCUAAAGAGUAACGGAGGAGUACGAAGGUGCGCUCAGACCGGUCGGAAAUCGGUCGUAGAGUAUAAAGGCAAAAGCGCGCUUGACUGCGAGACAGACACGUCGAGCAGGUACGAAAGUAGGUCUUAGUGAUCCGGUGGUUCUGUAUGGAAGGGCCAUCGCUCAACGGAUAAAAGGUACUCCGGGGAUAACAGGCUGAUACCGCCCAAGAGUUCAUAUCGACGGCGGUGUUUGGCACCUCGAUGUCGGCUCAUCACAUCCUGGGGCUGAAGCCGGUCCCAAGGGUAUGGCUGUUCGCCAUUUAAAGUGGUACGCGAGCUGGGUUUAGAACGUCGUGAGACAGUUCGGUCCCUAUCUGCCGUGGACGUUUGAGAUUUGAGAGGGGCUGCUCCUAGUACGAGAGGACCGGAGUGGACGAACCUCUGGUGUUCCGGUUGUCACGCCAGUGGCAUUGCCGGGUAGCUAUGUUCGGAAAAGAUAACCGCUGAAAGCAUCUAAGCGGGAAACUUGCCUCAAGAUGAGAUCUCACUGGGAACUUGAUUCCCCUGAAGGGCCGUCGAAGACUACGACGUUGAUAGGCUGGGUGUGUAAGCGUUGUGAGGCGUUGAGCUAACCAGUACUAAUUGCCCGUGAGGCUUGACCAU